UACGGAGGGGGUUAGCGUUGUUCGGAAUUACUGGGCGUAAAGCGCGCGUAGGCGGAUUGGAAAGUAGGGGGUGAAAUCCCGGGGCUCAACCUCGGAAUUGCCUUCUAAACUCCCAGUCUUGAGGUCGAGAGAGGUGAGUGGAAUUCCGAGUGUAGAGGUGAAAUUCGUAGAUAUUCGGAGGAACACCAGUGGCGAAGGCGGCUCACUGGCUCGAUACUGACGCUGAGGUGCGAAAGCGUGGGGAGCAAACAGG
rnacentral:rRNA from 1 species